rnacentral:rRNA from 1 species
AUGGAGGCUGCUGGUGGUGUGGCGCGGCAGUGUUGGAUGUUGGGGAUGCAGCGCUGGUGGAGUGGUGGAUGGAUGGCGCGGCGCGGCUGGGAUGGAUGGAUGAACCAGGGGGCCAACUAUAGAAGAGAGGAUCAUCUUGUGCCAAAAGAAGAGAAGGAGGGCAAAAGUGCAAAAUGGAACGAAGAAGAGGAGGAAGAAUAUACUUGUGCGAGAAGAAACAAAGUAACCAGGGGGCCAACUAUAGAAGAGAGGAUCAUCUUGUGCCAAAAGAAGAGAAGAAGGAGGGCAAAAGUGCAAAAUGGCAGAUCAGGGAGGGGAUCAAAAUCCCUAGCAUGCCUCAAUUUUGGAUCGGGCCUUACUUCGUUUCUUCUCGCACAAGUAUAUUAUUCCUCCUCUUCUUCGUUCUCUUAG